rnacentral:rRNA from 1 species
AUGUUGUCCAAGACCCCAUCGACGGCGGCCAUGGGAGGCGGCGCGGGCACCAGCAACAGAAACAGUCUCAGCCGCGUGAUUCGGCCGGAGAGUCGUUUCAUCCCCUACAGAGCGGAGCAAAUCGAGGAGAGGACGCGGCUCCUCUCCAUGAUUGACACCUUCUACAGAGAGGCGUGCGACAGGCUCGUUGUGGAAGCGACGGCCGCCACCCGCGCCCGCUUCCUCGACGCCGGCGUCUGCAUCGGCCUCCUCGACCCCGUCUCCAACGUCAUGGCCAACACCCUCGUCACCUCCGACCAACGCCCCGGCCUCAUCGACGAAGUCCCCGAGGAUACCAAGCCGGGAGAGAUGGCCAAGCGCUCACUCGACGGCCUCGUGGCCUUCCUGAUCUACUUCUUCCCGUACCUCCCCGGGUGGGAGGCCGUGCGAUACCUGCUGGUCGCCGACGCCGACCUCCUCGUCGCUGCGCGCCUGAUAGUGGCGGACCGCGGCAUGACGGGGUUCUCGGUCAUCUCACUGGCAUCGGUGGCAGCAUUCGAGGCGGCCCUCAGGUUGGCUGCGCAGGUCGCCAAGCACCCUCAGCCGGAACGCCUCGUCAGUGUUUGGAUGUCGCUGUCCUCCCAACUGCAACAGGUCCUCGGUUUCCUCUCAGCGAUGCAGACCCAGACACAGUGUAUGAACAUCCAAACGUUGCUCGGUGGACGGUCGCUUCCCGACCUGGGGAAAGCUUGGAACCUUGCUGCUUCUCGGCCACCUUACAACAACAUUGCCGAUAUGCCAUACAAAGCCACCCGGUCUCUGAGGAUGGCGCUUCUCGACACAAUUCACAGCUUCUACCUGCGAGCCCUGGCAAGGCUGCCGCGUGCAGAGCUGCGCACUCGCUACCACCGCAGCAUGCUCAUGGCCGGUUACUGCUACGGCCCCUUGGACCCCGUCUCCAACGUCAUCGUCAACACGAUAUGGUACGAUGUCAUGUUCGCAGCACCCCAGCCACCGGUGUUGGACAUGAUCGGCCCAAAAAGCCUUACCCGAUUGGAGAGCCGCUCCUUUUAUGGUCUUGCCUCGUUCCUCCAAACCCGCUACCACGAUUUGUCGGAGCACGAACUGGUGCAAUGCCUAGUUGCCUCCUGUGCUCACCUGUCCGUGGCUGAUCCAAACUUUGAUGCGGGGUUUGCUUACCAUCCUCUUGUUGAUCCCAACAUUAGUGCUGCUGCAUCUGCUGGUGCUAAGAUGGAGGCGAUACGCCAGCAACAAGAAUGCAGGACCAGCGCACCAGGCAUCUAUGAUGCUGUCAGCAAGAUGGAGAAACAAAGACCGUGCUCAAGUGCCAAGGAAGCCUACGAGGCUGCAGCCACCGCAGCAUGGCACCCCAACCCUGAGGCUCAUGCAGCAUUUCUCAGUUCAGUCGACGUGAUGCUGAACGGACCUGCCUUCCUCCUGCUGCAGAGCGGUGACCAACUCACUUCCGAAAACGUGCAGUUCAUCGCCAGCUUAUUGUCUUCCAAUCAAAAACCUACUCCUGAACAAAUUAUAAAGAGGAACCGUGUUCCCGCAUUGGAGGCAAAGAUGCGUUCCGAGGCUCAACAAAGAAGAAUCACCAAAAAGGUGAAAGCUGCAUUGGAUAAAUACUUGCUACGAGAUGCGGAACCCAUGUAUGAUCUUCAUAUUAUCUGUGGUGCAAAUGAAUCCAUAGGCAGCCCUGAGUACUGCGCCGAUGUCCUGGAUGAUCCCCUGUCUUAUUCCCCAUGCAAAUUCCGUUACUCGCAUGUAAAUUUUUUGGUGACCCAGAAGGAUUCUUCAUCUGCAGAAAGAUAUCCCUUACUCCUUUUUGCUGAAUUCGAUAAUGAGGAGGAGGGUGAGCCCCUAUGCUGUCUUGUCGAUGUGCCAACGCCAUUUGCAGAACAUGUUCGGUGCCUGUAUUGUGAGGCUCAAGGGACCAAAAUUGUGCAUCCGGCAUUGGAAAAAUUUCAUGGGAAAGAAAGGGAGUUGGAGAGGGAGUUUGAGGAGGCUAUCUCUAAAGGACGUCAUGACCGGCUUAUCUGCACGAAUGAAUAUGCUGUUCAGCACUUGUGUGGAGUGGAGGAGGAUUUCAUGUACAUUGAUAUCAGGUGCAUCAGUUAG